AAGACUGUGCUUCACAGGAUCAUUUCUGUAGGCAAGUUUUCAUCACAAGUUUUUUCCUAACGGAAAAGAUUUCCCACCCACGAUGAUGACCAGCAGUGUCUAGUCUGGAGCGUGAAACUGUGGCGGAAUCGGACAGAUCGAAUCGAACUGGCCAUCCGUCGUCUGAAGAUCGGCUCUCUUGCAAAGACUUAGACGCAUUCUGAGUGGU